UACGAAGGGGGCUAGCGUUGUUCGGAAUCACUGGGCUUAAAGGGCGCGUAGGCGGGCUGUCCAGUCUGGGGUGAAAUCCCACGGCUCAACCGUGGAACUGCCUCAGAUACUGACGGCCUCGAGGGAGAUAGGGGCAUGCGGAACUGUAGGUGGAGCGGUGAAAUGCGUUGAUAUCUACAGGAACUCCGGUGGCGAAGGCGGCGAUCUGGACAGAUAUUGACGCUGAGGUGCGAAAGCGUGGGGAGCAAACAGG
rnacentral:rRNA from 1 species